rnacentral:rRNA from 1 species
GAUGAACGCUGGCGGCGUGCCUAAUACAUGCAAGUCGAGCGAACGGACGAGAAGCUUGCUUCUCUGAUGUUAGCGGCGGACGGGUGUGUAACACGUGGAUAACCUACCUAUAAGACUGGGAUAACUUCGGGAAACCGGAGCUAAUACCGGAUAAUAUUUUGAACCGCAUGGUUCAAAAGUGAAAGACGGUCUUGCUGUCACUUAUAGAUGGAUCCGCGCUGCAUUAGCUAGUUGGUAAGGUAACGGCUUACCAAGGCAACGAUGCAUAGCCGACCUGAGAGGGUGAUCGGCCACACUGGAACUGAGACACGGCCCAGACUCCUACGGGAGGCAGCAGUAGGGAAUCUUCCGCAAUGGGCGAAAGCCUGACGGAGCAACGCCGCGUGAGUGAUGAAGGUCUUCGGAUCGUAAAACUCUGUUAUUAGGGAAGAACAGAUGUGUAAGUAACUGUGCACAUCUUGACGGUACCUAAUCAGAAAGCCACGGCUAACUACGUG